AUGGAAAAACAUGAGAGUUUGGAGCGUGACUCGAAGACUCGAGAGUCCGAGCUUGCGACGGCUCUUGAGAGUGCCAAAGCCGCUAAGGCAGAAGCCUAUAAGGCCCUCCGGGAAAUCGAGGUGUUGAAGAAAAUAGCUGCGGGUAAGGCAUUUUUCAUGCAAAGUAAGCAUGUGAGUGUGAAUUACCUAUCACUUACCCGAAUUCGGAGCUCUCCAGGAGCGUUCACAGAUCUUCCCUACAACAUAUCUAAUGCUGCCGCAUUCUACUGGGCCGAGGAGGGGAGCUCGACGGAGAAGGUCUUCUGGUCUCAGUAUGCUGAGGCCGGACAUCCGGUGCCCCUUAGCGACCAGCUGAAGCAGCUGGUCGAGCUCCACAAGGUUGCCGAACAGGCCAUGAAGGGCCUCAUAGUUUGGCUGUGGCCUAAAGAGGCCAUGCCUGGGAGCUACUUCGACCUGGUGCAGAGGUUGGUGGAUGCGUGCCCGUGGGUUGAAGUCAUCAAGCACUCUGCUUGUAUUGAGGGUGCCCGUCGGGCCCUUGCCCGCGCAAAAGUGCACUGGGGCAAGAUGGAUGCCCAGAAGCUUGUCACGGACCCGCCACCGCAGGGCAAGGAGCACCGCACACCCAAGAUGUAUUAUAAGAGUGUCCUGAAGGGUGCCCGCACUAUUGCGGGUGAGUGCUCCAAAGAUGUAAUAUUUGAGUAG
rnacentral:rRNA from 1 species